ensembl:snoRNA
AUACCAAAAGUGUUUUUUUGUGGGAAGGUUUUUUAAUAACCUUUACCAACUUAGGGUUUUUGGGAGAGUAAAAAAGGCCAUGCUCCACAGUGGGCUAUACCACUUAAUGUAGUUCACUACUAUUUUGUGGCCUACAUU